rnacentral:rRNA from 1 species
UACGGGGGGAGCAAGCGUUGUUCGGAUUUACUGGGCGUAAAGGGCGCGUAGGCGGCCUCCGCAAGUCAAUUGUGAAAUCUCCGGGCUUAACUCGGAAAGGUCAACUGAUACUGCGGGGCUAGAGUGCGGAAGGGGCAACUGGAAUUCUUGGUGUAGCGGUGAAAUGCGUAGAUAUCAAGAGGAACACCUGCGGCGAAGGCGGGUUGCUGGGCCGACACUGACGCUGAGGCGCGAAAGCUAGGGGGAGCGAACGGG